rnacentral:tRNA from 1 species
GUCUGUUUUCCAGCAGGGCCGACAGCGCUUCGUGCGCGCUGUCCUUGCGCACGGCCCGCUGGAUCGCGUCCAGCGCAUUGAUA